UGGCGAACGGGUGAGUAACACGUGGGUAAUCUGCCCUGCACUCUGGGAUAAGCCUGGGAAACUGGGUCUAAUACUGGAUAUGACCUUUCUCCUUAUGGGGUUUGGUGGAAAGUUUUUCGGUGUAGGAUGAGUCCGCGGCCUAUCAGCUUGUUGGUGGGGUGAUGGCCUACCAAGGCGACGACGGGUAGCCGGCCUGAGAGGGUGAUCGGCCACAUUGGGACUGAGAUACGGCCCAG
rnacentral:rRNA from 1 species